ensembl:lncRNA
GUUUAACAGUAUUGACAUUUGGGGAAUGAAAACUUUGUCGAUAUGAGUGGAAAAAAGUUUGUUUUGAUUUUUACGCUGAUGAGAUAGCGCCAACUUUUGAAAGAUUUUAGAUUUGUUAAAAAUCAGGAUAGUUUUUGCUAAAUUUAUAUCAACAUUUUGAAAUUAUUAGAUCGCUGAUUAAAGUGGUUUGUUUAUUUGUAUGCUGUUUAUUUUUGAUUUUAGGUGUUGAUUUUACUUAAUUAAACAUUGUAUUAUUUGAUGCGUUUGAGUAGGAUUCUUUCUUCCGGGAUGGAUGGAAGUUAUCUAAAUAUGUAAGUUGAAGGAGCCUUGGGAGAACACGUCUACAUUUUUAUUAAAUGCCUGGGAUUAAAUACUGAUUUCUUACGCUGAGAAAUGUACUACAUUUGCGACAGAGGAAAAAGUAUUACAUUUAGAUAGUAAGGAUAAUUGUAUCUAAGGAUAACAUGUUCAAUUAAGCAUACAUAUACAUUGAUGUUGAUUAAAACGUAUGACUAAUGAUUUGAGGUACAGUGGAAUUAUCAUUAGGUUUGGUUUAUAGUUCACUUUUGAGUUUGAAUCGAUGUAGUGUAAUGAAUACUAACAAAGUGUUUUGUGUUUUUUUCUGCGAGAAUGGGUGUUUCAUUGUCUCUCUUUGGAAUGUUUCCUGGGACUAUAAUCUUGGGGAGAGUGAGUGAGAUUGAGGCCAUAAACGACCAAAAUUGAAAAGUUCUUAGCCAUAUUUGUAAUUUGGACCACUGCGAAGAAGGAGAGGGCAUUGCUUUUAACUAAGGGUAUGCUGCUUUAAGUCUAUUUUCCUAUGACCACAUGGGUUAAAUAAUUUUUCUUUGUGGGGUUUUUUCAGUUUAGUGAUUUUAAUUUGAUUAGGUUAUUAGAAUUUUUUUUUCCAGUAGUAUUUUUUUAAAUUUUUUUUUUUACAUUACUCUCAUACAGAGAGAUAUGUGUAAAAAAUGGGGGAUGAUUCAGUUUGAAUUGAAGUUAUACACCUUGAAUGAUAUGUGAAGGAGUGUAUUGUAUUGUUGAGUGUAUUGUAUUGUUGUUUGUUUUGUUCUAUUCCGGAG